AGUUCUCUCAUCAUUGGAGUGAGCGUCCCAGGUAACGUCCAGAUCCACUCCUCAAACCCAACUACCAACACCAUCCAGGGUCCAAAUAAUGUUCUGUAUGGAGGGGCUUUGUACUACAACUGUUACAACCAAGAUUAUGUUUGUCGAUUCAAUCUCACCACUAAAAGUGUCACAACCUUACAACUACCAAAAGGCACCAGGUACAACUCAAAAGGUAACUUCUGCCAUCUUGAGGAAUGCUACCCAUACACUGACCUGGACCUGGCAACAGAUGAGUCUGGUGUCUGGGUGGUCUACACCACCACUCAGGACUUUGGCAACUUGGUUCUCUCUAAGCUAGAGGAGGG